rfam:Tupaia chinensis contig237290, whole genome shotgun sequence.
GGACUCACUUCAGCAGCACACAUACUAAAACUGGAACGAUACAGAUAAGAUUAGCAUGGCUCUUGGGCAAGGAGGACACACAAGGGCAUGAAGCGCUCCACACUAUU